CUCCGUGGCUUCUCCGGAAAACCGGAGUUACUAUUCACUUAAGUGAAAACUAAUAAUCGCGUAACUUCUCCAUUCUAGCUCAUUUUCUCCUGAAACUUGACGAGUGCUUAUGUAAUUAAAUUACACACAUAAACAUCAUCAACAGAGAGUUUAGUUGCACUGUAAAAAAAAUCUCAGUCCUUACAGUCUAUCAGUCAUAGGCAUAGUUAAUUCAGAUUCGGCAAAAAUUCGGUACAAAUAUUAUACGCAUAAAAUUUAUUUUUUAAUUUUUAAAUUCAUUGAAAAAUUUGAUUUAAAAACGGAUUCGGUAUAAAAUAUAAAAUAUAAGAUAUAAAAUAUAAGAUAAUUUAUAUUUAAAAAUAAAAUUAUAAUUUUUUAUUCAUAUUUUCAAUAAUUCGGCAAUAAUUUGCGAAUAAUUUGGCUGGCCUAAAAAUUCGUGAAUAAUUCUCUCUUUCUUUGGAAAAAAUUCAUAAACGAACUGUUUAAUUCGGAUUUUCAAUAAUUCACGAAUAAUUAGCGAAUAAUUCGCGAAUUUACUAACUAGGGUCACAGGUCGCUCGUAUUUGGCUCAAAAUUGCACAAAUUUGAAUUAUGUGUUUAAUAAAUGAAUGCUAUUAAUAACAAACAAAUUUUAUUGUCAUCCAUUUAUUUUUAAUGAUUGUCACGCCCCGGGGUCCCUUUUUAUUUUGGAAAAACAGCGGAAACGACUAAAAUUUUUUUUUUUUUUUUGAAACACCUGACCCCAGAGUAUGUCAGAUCCGCCACAAAUACAGGGAAUCCACUGUUCACACGAACAGAGUCUCCCCUGUAUCUGCACGGCGUCGCACAUAUACAAUUAUACAACCAGAGUACAACCAGAAUACAACCACAACCAUAUGAACAUACAACCUCAACCGCACAUACAGACGUCCAUAUAUUCACCAUUCACAACACGACGGUAUACAUAGUUUUAAACAUAAAUCCAAAUCUAUCAUUUGAGACGUUUCCUACCCGGAAACAAGUUUUGAAAUACUAAGUCUCAGAAAUCCAUUGAAAGCUCCUUUUAAAACUGUUUCCCACGCGGAAACCAUUAUCUUUUAAAACGCUACCACGAGGGGUAGAAAACUGUAUCGCAUAUGAAAAUUCUUUUCUUUUUUUUUUUAAAACAAGCGCUACCACGAGGGGUAGAAAAUCAUUUUACUUUGAAAAGCCCAAAAAUCUCUUUUUAUCACAAUACGUAAAGCCAGCGAAAACCAAUUUCUCAAGUACAGAAUGAAACUGAACCGUAAU
rnacentral:lncRNA from 1 species